rnacentral:rRNA from 1 species
GGACGAACGCUGGCGGCGUGCUUCAUACAUGCAAGUCGAACGAUAAGGCACCUUCGGGUGUACAUAAGUGGCGGACGGGUGAGUAAUAUGUAGAGAAUCUGCCCUAGAGAGUGGGACAACAGUUGGAAACGACUGCUAAUACCGCAUAUGAGCGUACCUGAAAUGGUAUUCUUGAAAACUCCGGUGCUCUGGGAUGAGUCUGCAUCUGAUUAGCUAGUUGGGGGUGUAAUGGACCACCAAGGCGACGAUCAGUAGCUGGUUUGAGAGGAUGAUCAGCCACAAUGGGACUGAGACACGGCCCAUACUCCUACGGGAGGCAGCAGUAGGGAAUUUUGCGCAAUGGGGGAAACCCUGACGCCAGCAACGCCGCGUGACCGAUGAAGCCCUUCGGGGUGUAAAGGUCUGUCAGUGGGGACGAAUAUUGACGGUACCCACAGAGGAAGCAUCGGCUAACUCCGUGCCAGCCGCCGC